GAUGCGGCAUGGCAUACGGAAGGAGCGGACAGCGGACAGAGACCGACUGUAACGUGGCGUGCCAAGGUGACGGCAGCGUCAUGUGCGGAGCUUACGGUGUGAACUCGGUUUACAGAAUCAACGAAUAUGAUGCCUUCAGCGAAUUGCUAUUCCACGACAGCCGUGUGUCCGCAGGGGACGAGCUAACACGUGAUGUAACAGCAAGCCCGGCAGUAGGUGUCGCCUCGGUGUUACUGUGCGCAGUUCACUGCCUUGAGUCACCAUAUUGCUUUGGAGUCGUGUGAAUUCCAGCAAGCGUUAAAAACUGCGUGCUUAUCUCCGGUGAGGGCAACACGGGCGUUUACACGAUUCCCACAAGAGGAAAAAUACUAUCAG
rnacentral:misc_RNA from 1 species